GAGAGAGAGAGAGAGAGAGAGAGAGAGAGAGAGAGAGGGAGAAAAGCAGCAGCGUAACCUUCACCCUACGCUAAACUCUCAACCCAACGGAAACGCAACGCAACGCAAGCAUUCAUCAUCCUCUUCGUCUCUCUGAUAUCCAAAUUUAGGGUUUUCUACUUUCAUCCGUCACUCUCACUCUCUCAGUUUUCUCUCUUAAUUUUUUUAAGAUGGAAUUUGGAGCAUUCCGAAACGGCGUCGUUGACUCCUCGGACACCGCCGCCGCCGGUGGAUUUUGGAUUCCGGCCGAGCACUCCUCCUGCUCCGACGACGUUUCGUUGGAGUUUCGUGAGACAUACACAUAACUGGGGGACUUGCUGGCUUGGUUGGAUGGGUCGGUUUGGUAAGCUCAGGGGAAGCAAUUGCUGGAAGGCCAUUCCUUUGUGCCUUAUGUGGAUCAUUUGGUGUGAAUGGAACAAUCGGGCUUUUGAAGGAAUUAGAACAGAACGCAGAACAACGGAGCUCAAGAUGAUUGUUUUAAGAUCUUUGUUUUGACUGGAUGGUUGUAACACCUAUGUACCUGAGAUCCAGUUUUUUCGAUUUUCUAGACUCUUGUAAUAUGUCAUAAUUCUGCAGUUAUAGCAUGCAGCUUGUGUACCGGAGCUGCAUUUCUUCAUUCUAAUAAAAUUUCUUAUUUACCUAUAUAUAAAAAGAAAGAAAGUUGGAAUAUCCUUCA